rnacentral:snoRNA from 1 species
GAAAAUGAUGAAAUGUCAUUCUACUAUCAGUUCCAAAUACAAAACCUUGACUUGUUUGAAAGCUCAAGUUCUUCAGAUAAUAAUAUCCUCACAACAACUGACU